rnacentral:rRNA from 1 species
AGCGAACGCUGGCGGCAGGCUUAACACAUGCAAGUCGAGCGGGCCCUUCGGGGUCAGCGGCGGACGGGUGUGUAACGCGUGGGAACGUGCCUUCUGGUCUGGAAUAACCCUGGGAAACUAGGGCUAAUACCGGAUACGCCCUUUUGGGGAAAGGUUUACUGCCGGAAGAUCGGCCCGCGUCUGAUUAGCUAGUUGGUGGGGUAACGGCCUACCAAGGCGACGAUCAGUAGCUGGUCUGAGAGGAUGAUCAGCCACACUGGGACUGAGACACGGCCCAGACUCCUACGGGAGGCAGCAGUGGGGAAUAUUGGACAAUGGGCGCAAGCCUGAUCCAGCCAUGCCGCGUGAGUGAUGAAGGCCUUAGGGUUGUAAAGCUCUUUUAUCCGGGACGAUAAUGACGGUACCGGAGGAAUAAGCCCCGGCUAACUUCGUG